rnacentral:rRNA from 1 species
ACAUCCAGAGAACUUAGCAGAGAUGCUUUGGUGCCUUCGGGAACUCUGAGACAGGUGCUGCAUGGCUGUCGUCAGCUCGUGUUGUGAAAUGUUGGGUUAAGUCCCGNAACGAGCGCAACCCUUAUCCUUUGUUGCCAGCGGUUCGGCCGGGAACUCAAAGGAGACUGCCGGUGAUAAACCGGAGGAAGGUGGGGAUGACGUCAAGUCAUCAUGGCCCUUACGGCCAGGGCUACACACGUGCUACAAUGGCGCAUACAAAGAGAAGCGACCUCGCGAGAGCAAGCGGACCUCAUAAAGUGCGUCGUAGUCCGGAUUGGAGUCUGCAACUCGACUCCAUGAAGUCGGAAUCGCUAGUAAUCGUAGAUCAGAAUGCUACGGUGAAUACGUUCCCGGGCCUUGUACACGCCGCCCGUCACACCAUGGGAGUGGGUUGCAAAAGAAGUGGGUAGCUUAACCUUCGGGAGGGCGCUUACCACUUUGUGAUUCAUGACUGGGGUGAAGUCGUAACAAGGUAGGCGUAGCGAG